rnacentral:rRNA from 1 species
GUAAGGAAUAUUGGUCAAUGGACGAAAGUCUGAACCAGCCAUGCCGCGUGGAGGAUGAAGGUCCUCUGGAUUGUAAACUUCUUUUAUAUGGGACGAAAAUGGGGCUUUCUAGCUCAACUGACGGUACCAUAUGAAUAAGCACCGGCUAACUCCGUGCCAGCAGCCGCGGUAAUACGGAGGGUGCAAGCGUUAUCCGGAUUCACUGGGUUUAAAGGGUGCGUAGGUGGAUUGGUAAGUCAGAGGUGAAAUCUCCGGGCUCAACUCGGAAACUGCCUUUGAUACUAUCAAUCUUGAAUAUUGUGGAGGUUAGCGGAAUAUGUCAUGUAGCGGUGAAAUGCUUAGAUAUGACAUAGAACACCAAUUGCGAAGGCAGCUGGCUACACAUAUAUUGACACUGAGGCACGAAAGCGUGGGGAUCAAACAGGAUUAGAAACCCUAGUAGUCC